UUCUAGAGCUAAUACAUGCUGAAAACCCCGACUUCGGAAGGGGUGUAUUUAUUAGAUAAAAAACCAAUGCCCUUCGGGGCUCCUUGGUGAUUCAUAAUAACUUCUCAGAUCGCAUGGCCUUGCGCCGGCGACGGUUCAUUCAAAUUUCUGCCCUAUCAACUUUCGAUGGUAAGGUAUUGGCUUACCAUGGUUUCAACGGGUAACAGGGAAUUAGGGUUUGAUUCUGGAGAAGGAGCCUGAGAAACGGCUACUACAUCCAAGGAAGGCAGCAGGCGCGCAAAUUACCCAAUCCCGACACGGGGAGGUAGUGACAAUAAAUACUGAUACAGGGCUCUUUUGGGUCUUGUAAUUGGAAUGAGUACAAUUUAAACCUCUUAACGAGGAACAAUUGGAGGGCAAGUCUGGUGCCAGCAGCCGCGGUAAUUCCAGCUCCAAUAGCGUAUAUUAAAGUUGUUGCAGUUAAAAAGCUCGUAGUUGAACCUUUGGCCUGGCUGGCAGGUCCGCCUCACCGCGUGCACUUGUCCGGCCGGGCCUUCUCUUCUGGAGAACCGCAUGCCCUUCACUGGGUGUGUUGGGGACCAGGACUUUUACUUUGAAAAAAUUAGAGUGUUCAAAGCAGGCCUUUGCUCGAAUACGUUAGCAUGGAAUAAUAGAAUAGGACGUGCGGUUCUAUUUUGUUGGUUUCUAGGACCGCCGUAAUGAUUAAUAGGGACAGUCGGGGGCAUCAGUAUUCAAUUGUCAGAGGUGAAAUUCUUGGAUUUAUUGAAGACUAACUACUGCGAAAGCAUUUGCCAAGGAUGUUUUCAUUAAUCAGUGAACGAAAGUUAGGGGAUCGAAGACGAUCA
rnacentral:rRNA from 1 species